UGGAUCUGUGAUGGAUUUCAUUGGUCUCUUGAAGAAAUCUGUUGACAAACAUUCACCUGAAUUAUUUAAGCCUGGCUUAACAGCUGCACCUCUUGAGCCUGGUUUGGUCUUUGAAACGGAUAGAGCCAGAAUGAACUGAUAGUGCUAUGUCAGGCCUAGCUAUCUCUCUUCUCCUGGAUUUCUGAAUCCUACCUUUGUGAAACAACCUUCAGGCAGCAAGCAACAAAAAUGAAAAGGAAAUUUUUAAAAUCAGGUUGACUUAGCUAUAUCAGAGUUGUUAAUGGUUUGUUGUCCCUGAAGCAACAUAAUUGUUUUUCAGUGUAUGUUGAUUGUAUGUCAAAUAAACACUAUUUAAAUGUCCAUACCACACAGUGCAUACUUUGCUCAAGGCAAAGUAUGUCUGAAAUAUAGCCUGACAUAAUUUAAAGUCUAUAUUUUUCUUCUCUGUGUGUGAUUUGGAAUGUAGUUGAUGCAUUUACCUAAAUGUUCACAAACUUAUAAAGUUGAACAAAGGCAAUAUAGUAAACUACAAAUGCAGUUAACUACCUGGGGCAGCAGCAUCAGAAUCAGGGACCUAAAAAGACUCAACAGCCUGAUAAAGAAGGCUGGUUCUGUUCUGGGGAUGACUGGAGCCUCUGAAGAUGAUGAUAAAAAGAAGAAUCCUUCAUGAAAUCAAGGCGAUUAUAGACAACUCUGACCCUCCUCUUCAUGAGAGGCUGUCUUGGUAAAACUGUAGGACGUCAUGUCAAUAGCGACUUCAACGCAACCUUUGGCCAAAUUGUGAUCUUUGUAUUUGGGGUUAAGGGUUUUUGUCUUCUGGAUUUCAUGCCACACAGUCUUCCGGUGACUUUUAUUUUGAAGGUUAAUCUGUCUACUGCCUUACAGCCUUUCUGCUGUAAGGCAGUAGACCUCUAGUUGGAAAUGCGUGGCAUCGGUCUUCUUCAGGUUGUCUGUUUAGUUUCUCUUCGACUUCAGGCACUUUAAAACUACACGCCCCAUAUGUUAAGAAUGUAACUGAGGUAUCUGAGGGAAAGCGUACACGGGCAGCAGCAGAUGUGAUAAGCUAACCUGGCUGAAAAGGUGUGAGAUUCGGAGUAAUGCCUUUCGGAAUACCAGGAGUCCAGGAAGUUCGUCUCGAGACCCCAAAAUUGAACAGUAGCUGGAAAUAAGCUUAGCUAGGUGUGAUACUGAUUUACUGAAAACAACCUGGAGAGCCCACAGUGCUAUAAACAUAGCAAAAUGCUAGGUUUAUAACUGAUAACUGAUGACGGAUGGCUUUGUAUAGGAGAGAUACUGCUUGUCAAGGGCAGAUUUAGCAAUGUACAGAGGCCAAGUCGCCUCUUGAAUUGCUGAACGGGUUCAACACGCCUUACGGGUGUGUCUAGCCGGGAACGUUACUUUUGUCCUGGCUUGAAUCUUCGAGGUAUAUUGGCAUUAGAGAAACUGCAGGGGGCGAUUAUCUCUCCAAUUCGUUUUGGUUAAACUUUUAAUAAGUAAUGUCUUCUAUAGUGGGAAGAGCGUGGGGGUGGGUGCGCUUCUGGGGUAGUUGUUCCUCACAAAAUACCCCAACGUUGUGCCAAAAGCAGCUUGCUAAAGGUAACUGGAGAUCUUGGAUAUGGGGAGGGUGGAGAAAAGGAAGUGACCAGAGUGCUCUAGGAGAGGAGUACUGGGAAGCACAGGAGAAAUUGCAACCCAUGGAAAUAGAAGAUCUUGGCUCAGGAAAACCAGAGACGGAGCUACAGGUGUCCAGUUGGUGGAGCAAAUAUCUCCCCACGUCAUAUCUGUGGUCAAGAAAACCUCCUCAAAGCAGCCUGAGACAAAGGAAAGGUGAUGUUGAUGGGGACUUUUCUGAUUAUGGAACCCCUCCCCCGUCUCCCACUCCUUCUCAGCUGACCUCUCCAUUCAGAUUUUUCACAGAUAGCUGGAAUUUGGAGAUUAUACCAGAGCACUAUGAGAUUUGCUUCAACUUCCUUCGGCAUUUGUUUGACCUAUUUGUAGUUGCCUUCCUGUGGACUGUGUCCCCUCCUGCCAAACUGAUCCUGGAGGUGUUUGGUGUCCAGGGAGCUCUGAGGCUGUGGUUUCAUGGCAUGGCCAUGUUUUUUGUCUCAACAGCUGGAAUGGCAGGAUUGCUGUGGUUGAUUCAGGAGUAUCUCCCUCAGUUUGCUUUGAUUUAUGGCAUCAUACAAGCAUUGGUGAUCUCUGUCAGUGUACGACAAAGUGUAAUCCUUGGAGUGGAAGAAGACAAAGAAAAUAGCCAGGAGGUGAAAGAGACUGGUGAAAAGCAAGACACUGCAGACAAUGGAGAUAAGCUUUUUUCUAAGGAACUGCUGAAGACAAGCUUAGCCUAAGGUGAUGCAGGAAUCCAGCUGCUUCAGCCUUUCUCUAAAUGUUUGACUCCACAGACACUGACAGAUUGUGUAUACCACUAAAUUCAUUAGUUAUAAUCAUAGUUCACUUUGAUUUAGUUUGGAGAAGUUGUUUCUCUUUGUUUUGCCUGAAAUAGUGUCUGUAUUCUGCAAACAUCUACUCAUCACCGUGAAUGUUUAUAAUCCAACUGUAAAUGCUGAGAAUGCUGGGUAUAUGAGUGUUGAGGAGAUGCUACUGUAUGUCAAAUAACAGUCUAGAAAAUAGCCAGGACUUGGUGCUUGUACUGAUAUUUACAUUUAAUUUGUUGCCGUUUACUAUUCUCAUUGGCUCUCAAAAGUCUACUCCCACUUAUUAAAAUACCGUUAUUGUGAUGUGAAAAAUAUGAUCAUGGUAAAUCAUUUAAAUUUUUCCACAUAAUGACAUAUGUGCUGCACAGUUCAAGUGGAUAAUAAACAAAUGUGUUAAAAGGAAAAGUAUAAAAGGUGCAAUAACCCAGUUGCAGAAGUGUGUUUGUUUCACCUUUUUCUUUGCACAGUUAAAUCCUUUGUCUCCUCUGCAAAUUAUGGCUUUAGCUAAAGGUGGAGAAUGUUUGAAAUUAUUUAUCAUUGUCUCACUUUACAUCACAAAACCCUGCUGAUGUAACAGGUUUGUAGACUUUUAAGAGCCACUGUGAUGAAUCAGCUGUAAGAUUUGAAAUUGAAACAAAUUAACAGGAAAAAUUCAUAAGACGCCAACAUACACUCCAAAUGUAAAUCAUCACCUUGCCUCUUAUUAAUCUUACUUUCCCCAAAGUGACAUGCAAUUAAGACAUUUUAGGAUUGCUAAGCAAAGGAUUUACUGAAGGUGAAUUUGGGAAGCACUAACUGCAUAUUUAGACUCACUACAACUUGUAGUGAGACUAAAUACUCACUACAAGUUGAGUAUUUUGUACAAAUUGUAGUACAAGCACCACAACUUGUACAACUACAAUCUUAAAAUAAUCUGAAAAUAUCGAGCUCCUCUGCCUUCUCCUAAUGUUUCCAACACCACUCUGUCAGAAACAAGCAAUCAGCCUGGAUGAGGGUCUCUGUGCUGUCAAUCACACAUGUGCAUGUAAUGCUCUCUGCUAUAUCUUCUUCUCAAGAGCACAGCCUGCCAUGAAUGCCAAGGCUUGUUAGCAUUCAUGGCAGCAGAUAAACAGUUUUCCUUUAAUGUUAAGUUGUUUCUCCACCAUUUGCACAUUGAGUUGCGCAUACACAAGCAUGGUUGACAGUGCUAAAACACUCCUCUUUCUGGUUUUGAAUGAAAGCAGUGCAUUUCUUCAGAUGCCAAUAGCAGUACAGGAAGGAGGUGGAGGAGAUCAGUUCUUUCACAGAUUAUCUGUCUUACUGUCAUGACAUGUACAACUUUUUUUAUUUUAUUUUAACAAACAAAACUUUUUGUUUUUUUUAGAAAAAAAUGAAAGUUACAUAUUUCUGCUUUAAAAGUCUGUUUAACAAAAGGCGACAAUCCAGUAGAGCCUUAGUCUUGAACAUCUUGUUUUUUCCUGUUAUUACACUCUGGUAUUAGAACUUUAACACUACACACUUCAAACUAGAUUUUGUUUCUUGUGAUGUAUUUUGUUGGACUGCGGUUUCAUGUAAAGGUACCUUUGCUGUUGUGAAUUUCAGACUUUAGUUCAGGAAUUGAAAACCUAUGAGGCUUUUGGAGCAUCUAGUACAUACAUUCCAAAACAUACUGUUCAUAUAAUCUAAAUAUGUCUUUUAUUUUCCAUUGAUUACAUAUUUGGAUUAUAAUAACAAUAUAGAUUAUGUGGAAAUACAUGAUUAGUUCAUUGUUUUCCAAGCUACAGAGAAACUAGCUUUACCUGAAAUAAAUUCUGCUUUCUCAACAUUUUAAAGGGUGCCUUGAACUUAAUUUUUGAAUAUAUUAAAGUAUUGGUUCUUAAAUGUUUCAUUUUCACAUGUUUUUUCAAAACAGGUUUUUACUGUUGAAUGUUAAAGCAAUUGUCUUUUUCAGAAUUAUUAAACUAACAAGCAGCACAGUAAAGUAUUGUUGAUUCUUCAUGUUGACUCGAAGGCACCAAAAUGGAAAUUAAUAAUAUAAUCUGGUUUUAUUGCAUGAUUCCACUCUUAGCACUUUUCCUUUGUUUAGCCCGAGGAUAUGGAAUUAUUUAGAACUGUGUUGAUGCUUGCAAGACAUUGAAGCCUGUCCAGUGAAAGUUAUACGUCAUUGUUUUCAGGGCCAAUAAUACACAAUAAAGUUGGUAAUAAAAACUAGUGUUCAGUAUUUUCCUGAGCACAAAAGUAAUUGGAUUAAAUUAUUGUAAUGUGUGGUAGCAAACUAUUAGCUAUACACUGUACCUUGAAUUUUUGUUGGACUUUUUUUUUUUUUAAUCACAAAAAGGCUUGCUUAUAGAAAGUGUAUUUUUCAUGUUCUAUAAAUAUUCCAAAGGUGAAUGUAAAUGUUCCUGAGUAAAACUGGAAGGAAAAUUUAAAGUAAACCUUUAAAUUUGUCUCACAGAUAAGCCUAUUGUAGCCUUUUCUCCACCUAAAUUUCUCCCAACUGUUUCAGUACAUUUAGGACCGACAACAUCCAAGGGUCUGUCUAUACUAACCUUUUUUUAUGUUUGCUUGUGGUUGUGAAACUUUUUUUUUUACAGUAAAACUAAGACCCAAGAUAUUUUUAAAUGAGCACCAUUGCACCUUGCAAGUGUAGAUCACUAUAGGGAGAGCCUCACUAUUGGCUGCACUGUGAAGUUAACUGAUGGACCUUAGAGAAGUACAAUAUGUGCUUUAUGUUGUUCUGUAAUAUCUGCAUAUGAAAGAUGUGAAUACUUUGUAAUUAAAGUCAAUCUUGCUUUAGAUUUA